rfam:Amborella trichopoda AMTR_V1.0_contig_44268, whole genome shotgun sequence.
GGUUCUAUGGUGUAGUGGUUAGCACUUUGGACUUUGAAUCCAGCGACCUGGGUUUGACUCCCAGUAGGACCU